CUGACCUCUUCCAACUACUACUUCGUGUAGUUUAUUUUUCUUAAUUUCCUUUUUAAUUAGGGGCUUGUCAGAUUAUUAUUUUUUGAAAAGAAAAAUUAACAGGUGACAUCAAGCUAGACAAAUAACAGGACAAAAUAAUUGAAUAUUUGUCUCUAUUGAAAUUAAGCUUUACUCAUAAAUCAAGAAUCAAGUUGAAGAUGCAUUUAUGAUCACGGGGACCAUGGUGCGUCGACUCCAGUCAAUCAUUUUUGGCGUAGAAAGCUUGGGCAAGGCAUGAGGAAGAAAGGAAGGCAGCCAAAACGAAAUUUGUUUCUUGCCAUGAAAAGCUCACACACAUAAACUGGAAGUAGUUUUACUGGAUGCAAUGAUAUUGUGGUCAGUCAGAAUGAAACGGAGGCUUUGCAGUAUCAUCUUUUAUUAUAAGCAUGUAUAAGUUAGUUUGUGGUGCAAAUCAAAUCGUUGUGAUACUUCAGGGAAAAAACUGAAGGUUUUUAGAAUUAUCAAGAAAGAAAGGGGAGGAAGGCAAGCAAAACACAAUCGACUGUGGCAGUUCACAGUGUUUUUGUGAGAUACCACAUAGGUUCGUUUGGCGUCGGUCACGGUGAAGAUUGUGUUCCUGGCAGUGGCGCUUUCAGGAUAGGGUGAAGGCUGUGGGAAGAAAAGGAGAGAAGGAUUAUUUUCCAUUAGCAACAUCGCAGGGGAGGUGAUCUCUAUGUCCAAAAUGCUGUUAGAGAGCUCUUAUUUGCUGAUUGUUUCCAUGACAGAAGGAGCAAUAAGAGCUGGCACAUAGUAGAAAAAGAAAAAGAAAGGGUUGAUGAUCUUUGAGCUGGUGGGCUUUACACAGAAACCGUUGCCUUACCUAUAGAUCAACAAGCCUCCGUUAAUAAACUUUGAACAAAUUCAGAAAAGGGUCAGCAAAAUUGUGCUGCUGCUGGUGGCUGGUAAUGGAGUUUCAAGUGUAUUCUCAUUUCAGAGCUUCUGCCAUAUUAUUAUUAUUCACAUGUCCGUUCUAUCCUCAAAGUUCUAACAUAUCUCUUGUAUCUCCUACGUAUUUAACUCGACACAGCAAUCAAACACUACCUAAAUAACAACAUCGAUUAUUGAUAUGGAGCUGGAAGCAAUAUCAUCCCCUAGUCCUAAACUUCUGAUUGAUCAGCAUUACGUCCUGCUUCUACAUGUAAAACGUAUCAGUGUUGCACGAUUGUUUAAAACCAUAGUGGAAGUCAAAAACAAAAUCAAUCCAAAUAAGUUUCAGGGGGGAAGUCAUAAUGAAUAUUUGAUCAGCUCUUUAUUAAUCAAAUCUAGCAGUCUAUUAACCUUAUAUUU